rnacentral:tmRNA from 1 species
GGGGGUGACCUGGCUUCGACGCGGGUAGCAAAACCUUAGGUGCAUGCCGAGCUUUCAGGAAUCUCGUAAAACAUCUGAAAAAUUAUAGUUGCAAACGACGACAACUACGCAAUCGCUGCCUAAACA